rnacentral:rRNA from 1 species
UACGAAGGGGGCUAGCGUUGCUCGGAAUUACUGGGCGUAAAGCGCACGUAGGCGGCUUUCUAAGUCGGGGGUGAAAUCCUGGAGUUCAACUCCAGAACUGCCUUCGAUACUGGAAAGCUCGAGUCCGGGAGAGGUGAGUGGAACUGCGAGUGUAGAGGUGAAAUUCGUAGAUAUUCGCAAGAACACCAGUGGCGAAGGCGGCUCACUGGCCCGGUACUGACGCUGAGGUGCGAAAGCGUGGGGAGCAAACAGG